GAUGAACGCUGGCGGCGUGCCUAAUACAUGCAAGUCGAACGAAACUUCUUUAUCACCGAGUGCUUGCACUCACCGAUAAAGAGUUGAGUGGCGAACGGGUGAGUAACACGUUGGCAACCUGCCCAAAAGAGGGGGAUAACACUUGGAAACAGGUGCUAAUACCGCAUAACCAUAGUUACCGCAUGGUAACUAUGUCAAAGGUGUCUAUACUACCGCUUUUGGAUGGGCCCGCGGCGCAUUAGCUAGUUGGUAGGGUAAAGGCUUACCAAGGCAAUGAUGCGUAGCCGUAUUGAGAGGUUGAUCGGCCACAUUGGGACUGAGACACGGCCCAAACUCCUACGGGAGGCAGCAGUAGGGAAUAUUCCACAAUGGGCGAAAGCCUGAUGGAGCAACGCCGCGUGGGUGAAGAAGGUCUUCGGAUCGUAAAACCCUGUUGUUAGAGAAGAAAGUGCGUGAGAGUAACUGUUCACGUUUCGACGGUAUCUAACCAGAAAGCCACGGCUAACUACGUG
rnacentral:rRNA from 1 species